UACGGCCAUAUCACAUCGAAAUGCCAGUUCCCGUACGAUCAGCACAGUUAAGCAAUGUCGAGCUUGGUCAGUACCUAGAUAGGUGACUGCUUGUGAAUACCAGGUGCUGUAAG